CCCUUAGAUGUCCUGGGCUGCACGCGCGCUACACUGAUGUGUCCAGUAAGCACCUAACCUAUUCCGAGAGGAGCGGGUAACCUUAGCAAAGCACAUCGUGAUGGGGAUAGAUUAUUGCAAUUAUUAGUCUUGAACGAGGAAUUCCUAGUAAGCACAAGUCAUCAGCUUGUGUUGAUUACGUCCCUGCCCGUUGUACACACCGCCCGUCGCUCCUACCGAUUGAAUGUUCCGGUGAGCUCUUCGGACUGCGCGGUCUGCAGUUUCUGCGUUCCGUGCGGAAAGUUGUGCAAACCUUAACAUUUAGAGGAAGGAGAAGUCGUAACA
rnacentral:rRNA from 1 species